ACCUGUAGAAAUUGUUGAGGCGGUGAAAUGUUCCCUCUCAAAAUUCCCUCUUUUUUUCUAGGAUAGGUAAUGAACCCCUUCAUCACUCUCCCCGAUUUUCACUCUUGCACAGCCUUCUCUCACAAUUCAUUGUUCUCUUCCCUCACAAUCGCACACCCGCAUAGACGUUUGUUGAUCGUCGGGUUUCCUCCGUUUGCUGCGGCUGUGCGAGACCAGGUGAAGAUUCGACUAAAAAAACUUAUAUUAUAUGAAGUGAUUUAACUACUGAUGCGAAAUCGAAGUAGAAGAAGAAACAGAUAAAUCUCAUGAAGGAAGGUAAUGCUUCAGUACUACAUUGAACGGCAAUGCUUAUUGAAGUGUACCCGUCAGAUUAUCAUGCAUACAUGGAAGUCCAUUAUGCAGCUGGUUUAAUUCCAUCUCACACUUGACAAUCCAGUAGUUCCAAUUGGUGGGAUAGAAACAAUCUUGGUAAUCAAGGUUUCUGCAGAGUCAGCUAACCAGUUUGGGGAACUGGUGGCUGAUCCAGUUACCAAUGAACUGUUGCAUUACACCGAGAAACCUGAAACUUUUGUAAGUGAUCGAAUAAAUUGCGGUGUUUAUAUAUUUACACCAGAUUUUUUUAAUGCAAUUCAAGGUGUUUCCAUACAACGGAAAGAUAGGGGUCAGUGAUAAAGACUGAUGUGCCAUAGAGUUGCAUGUAGGUGGAAGUUUUUCUAUGCUAUGGUCAUUACAUGCAUUUCAAAAUAUUCUGAGACUUAAUGGAAUAAAUAUGGCAUGGUGCUGUACAAAAUCCCUAAUAUUUCGCACAUAUCUGUGAAUUUUCUAUGUGGGCCAUUUAAGUGCACUUUUGCUGAGGGAUUCUACAAAUAAUUGGAUUUACAUUCUUCA